rnacentral:rRNA from 1 species
CUCCGGUUGAUCCUGCCGGACCCUACUGCUAUCGGGUGGAGACUAAACCAUGCGAGUUAAGCGGCUCCUAGCCAUGUUGGAGACGCAGCGUACGGCUCAGUAGCACGUAGUUAAUCUGCCCUUGGGACGGGGAUAACCCUGGGAAACUGGGGCUAAUACCUGAUAGGUGCAGAGGCCUGGAAUGGUUCUGCACUGAAAAGGCUUCAAGAACAUGCUCUUGGAGUUGCCCAAGGAUGAGACUGCGGCCGAUCAGGUUGUUGGUGGGGUAACGGCCCACCAAGCCUAUAACCGGUACGGGCUCUGAGAGGAGGGGCCCGGAGAUGGGAACUGAGACAAGGUCCCAGGUCCUACGGGGCGCAGCAGGUGCGAAAACUCCACAAUGCGCGAAUGCGUGAUGGGGUUAACCCGAGUGCCGUCCGAUGAGGAUGGCUUUUCCUCAGUUUAAGGAGCUGGGGGAAUAAAGGGGGGGCAAGUCUGGUGUCAGCCGCCGCGGUAAUACCAGCCCCCUGAGUGGUAGGGACGAUUAUUUGGCCUAAAGCGUCCGUAGCCGGCUUAGCAAGUCUUUCGUUAAAUCCGACGAUUUAAUCGCCGGGCCGCGGAAGGUACUACUAGGCUUGAGGACGGGAGAGGUUGACGGUAGUCCCAGGGUAGGGGUGAAAUCCUAUAAUCCUGGGAGGACCACCAGUGGCGAAGGCGGUCGACUAGAACGUGCCUGACGGUGAUGGACGAAAGCUGGGGGAGCGAACCGGAUUAGACACCCGGGUAGUCCCAGCUGUAAACGAUGCGGGCUAGGUGUUGGAACAGCCACGUGCUGCUCCAGUGCCGCAGAGAAGUUGUUAAGCCCGCCGCUUGGGAAGUACGGCCGCAAGGCUGAAACUUAAAGGAAUUGGCGGGGGAGCACCACAAGGGGUGAAGCCUGCGGUUCAAUUGGAGUCAACGCCGGGAAACUUACCAGGGCUGACAGCAGGGUGAAGGCCAGACUAAAGAUCUUGCUAGACAAGCUGAGAGGUGGCGCAUGGCCGUCGACAGUUCGUGCCGUGAGGUGUCCUGUUAAGUCAGGCAACGAACGAGACCCUCACUGUUAGUUGCCAGCGGGUUCCAACGGAAUGCCGGGCACACUAAUGGGACCGCCACUGAUAAGGUGGAGGAAGGAGGGGGCCACGGCAGGUCAGUAUGCCCCGAAUGCCCUAGGCCACACGCGGGCUGCAAUGGUAGGUACAGAGGGUUCUGACCUCGAAAGGGGAAAGUAAUCCCUAAACCCUAUCGUAGUUGGGAUUGAGGGCUGAAACUCGCCCUCAUGAACAUGGAAUCCCUAGUAACCGCGCGUCAUCAUCGCGCAGUGAAUACGUCCCCGCUCCUUGCACACACCGCCCGUCGCUCCAUCCAAGUUGAGUUUAGAUGAGGCAAAGUCUUGUUGGCUUUCUCGAAUCUAAGCCCAGUAAGGGGGGAGAAGUCGUAACAAGGUGGCCGUAGGGGAACCUGCGGCCGGAUCACCUCC